rnacentral:rRNA from 1 species
UGAGGGAAUAUUGGGUCAAUGGGCGAGAGCCUGAACCAGCCAAGUAGCGUGCAGGACGACGGCCCUAUGGGUUGUAAACUGCUUUUAUACGGGAAUAAAGUGAUGCCUGCGGGCGUUAUUGCAUGUACCGUACGAAUAAGGACCGGCUAAUUCCGUGCCAGCAGCCGCGGUAAUACGGAAGGUCCGGGCGUUAUCCGGAUUUAUUGGGUUUAAAGGGAGCGCAGGCCGCCGGGCAAGCGUGUUGUGAAAUGCAGUCGCUCAACGUCUGCACUGCAGCGCGAACUGCCCAGCUUGAGUGCGCGCAACGUUGGCGGAAUUCGCCGUGUAGCGGUGAAAUGCUUAGAUAUGGCGAAGAACUCCGAUUGCGAAGGCAGCUGACGGGUGCGUAACUGACGCUCAUGCUCGAAAGUGCGGGUAUCGAACAGGAUUAGAUACCCUGGGUAGU